AGGGGUGGGGAGGAAUGAUCUAAGCCCCCCCCUCCUCCUCCCCUCCUCCCUCCCCCGACCUGCCGCUUAUCGACGGAUAAAAUCGGCGGCGGAAAUUUGCAGGAAGAGUUAGGGUUUGUGUGUGGCGGGGUGGGGAAUUCCCGAGGGGUGUCGACUGCUCGAUGGAAACCCCCGCGCGGGCUGCCCUUGCGGCGCUUCUUCAGCUACACAGCCAAGAUACCUGAUUGACUUGUGCAAGAUCAGACUGCCCUCUUGGUCAUGAGCCUGUAAGCAGAAUGGCUACUGAACUGUCUGGAGGCUAAAAGCCCAAGAUCAAGAUGUCGGCAAGGCCAUACUUCCUCUGAAGGAGCCAAGGAAGGAAGGAUCUGUUCCAGGCCUUUCUCCCAGCUUCUGGUAGUUCCUUAGCUUUGGGCAGGUCCACCAGGCUUGCUCCUGCCCUAGGACCGCUGCGUUCACUGGUUCCUCUGCCUGGAAUGCCCUUGCUCAGAUCUCCACAUGGGUAACUGUGAUCAACCAUCUUAAUGCCAAGGUCACCUUCUCAGGAGGACUUUCUGGCCCACGAUAUCUAAGACAUUUCCCAAGCACCUUCUGUGUGCUGAUGGAGUCUGAGACAGACAAGAUCUCUGCCUUCACGGAACUUAAAUUGCACACUCUGAUAUCCGAGCUUCGUUCUUCCCUCUGGCUGGAGCACAUUUACCCCAGAGAGCUGUGUGGGCCACUCCAACUCCUCCAGGUCUUUGCUCACAGGUCACCCUCCUGGGUGGCCAGGAGGAGAGAGCAAACAAAAUAGUGCAUGCUGGUGCUUGGAACACUGUAAGUGCUUUACAAGGCAUCUGAAGACAAGAGGACAUAUUCCUGAAGGCACCAGUUGUGGAUGAAGAACACUGGGGGGUAGGGUGGUCAGAGCUGUAUCCCACUGGGCUGUUUGGGACUUACGGGCGAAGCAGCAGAGACUCAUGACUCACGGCUCUCCACACCAGGCCGCGGGAUUUACCCAACUUCACCACAGAAGGAAACAGAUCGUAAGCUUGGAGGGCCAGGGAGGAAAACCAGAGGCAUGUCUGGGAUGAUUAGAAACAUGAAAAGAUCCCCAUGGUAGGCUGUGCUUGUCAUCCUCUCUGGCUGGAGGAGGGCAGAGUACAAUAAAGACAGCAUUUGAAUGUGGAUGCCAAGGCUCACACUGGAUAUACAAAUAGAGUAAAGGCUUCCUGUCAUCUUUGCUAAAGCAAGGGAUGGCUUUGGAUAGCAGACAUGGCUUUCAUGAUGGGGUGAAGGACCUGAGCGGACAUGGUGGUUAUGAACUGCUUCCUAUUCCUCUGCACAGGGAGAGCCCACUUCUCUGUAACCAUGGAGGCUCCGAUGCUUGAUGGCACCACAUUUCUGGCCUCUGAUCACUGGGUCAGAGAAAGGGUAGCAGGACUGGUUCUGGCAGAUCAGAUAUCUCCUGACAGCCUUAAAAGGAAACUAGGAUAUUUGGUGCUGUUGUAACCGACAGAUUCCCACGCUUUACUAGCUGGUGAGUAAGAAUAAAGUCCCAUUCCCUCUGAUACUCACCUCCCCACCAACUCCAUAAAAGUUUGCAAAGUUUUCCUCCAUCCCCUCCCCCUUUCAAUGAAAUACAUUCCAGAGCUGAGAUGGGAGCAUUCAGAUAUCUGCCACCAGCUUCAGCCAGAACCAUGACUUCCCUUGGAUUUCAGGGCCUGAUGCUGGGUCCGGUUCACACUCCAGGCUCUUUCCCUCAUGGUGAGGACUUUCUCAGGUGGCCUGCCUUCCCUCCAUGCAAACUGACUCAGGUUGCCUCCCCUUCUCCCUUCCCUUUCCAUUAGAUGUGUUCAUGUGUUUGAACCCCAAUGGUGCCCGGGAAUUGUGCAUUCUCUCGGGGUCCCCACAAGCCCCCAGUAAAUGAGUUGAAGUAGAUAACAGCAAAGGGGGGAGUUUGGCCUAGCUUUAUCAGCCAGCCGAGUUCAGACCUCAUUACGGCCCAAAUGUGACUUUGAUAAGUGAUGCCAUUUCUGUUAGGUGGCUUGUACAUGGCUCCCAGUGUCUGAGUCCCUGAACUCACAGGGCCACUAGGGUUGGCUCAUUCAGGAUACCAGCCCCAUGGCAUGUCCCACGGGACAAGGGCUGUGUUGCCCAGGAAAAGCCAGGGGGUGGGGGGAGCAAACUGAGGUCUCUAUUUGGUUUCUAAGAAAGCCUUAAUUAUUUUUAUAUAAGAACUCCUAUGUAAAGAAAUAAGAUAAUUUAAGUGCCAUGGAAAAAUUAACUUCAGGCUUCCCUGGUGGCACAAUGGUUGAGAGUCCGCCUGCCGAUGCAGGGGACGCGGGU